rnacentral:rRNA from 1 species
UACAGAGGUGGCAAGCGUUGUUCGGAAUUACUGGGCGUAAAGGGCGCGUAGGCGGCCUUCUAAGUCAGACGUGAAAUCCCCCGGCUUAACCUGGGAACUGCGUCUGAUACUGGGAGGCUUGAGUAUGGGAGAGGGAUGUAGAAUUCCAGGUGUAGCGGUGAAAUGCGUAGAUAUCUGGAGGAAUACCGGUGGCGAAGGCGGCAUCCUGGACCAUUACUGACGCUGGAGGCGCGAAAGCUAGGGGAGCAAACGGG